rnacentral:rRNA from 1 species
AGAGUUUGAUCCUGGCUCAGGACGAACGCUGGCGGCGCGCCUAACACAUGCAAGUCGAACGAGCGAGAGAGAGCUUGCUUUCUCGAGCGAGUGGCGAACGGGUGAGUAACGCGUGAGGAACCUGCCUCAAAGAGGGGGACAACAGUUGGAAACGACUGCUAAUACCGCAUAAGCCCACGGCUCGGCAUCGAGCAGAGGGAAAAGGAGCAAUCCGCUUUGAGAUGGCCUCGCGUCCGAUUAGCUAGUUGGUGAGGUAAUGGCCCACCAAGGCGACGAUCGGUAGCCGGACUGAGAGGUUGAACGGCCACAUUGGGACUGAGACACGGCCCAGACUCCUACGGGAGGCAGCAGUGGGGAAUAUUGCACAAUGGGGGAAACCCUGAUGCAGCGACGCCGCGUGGAGGAAGAAGGUCUUCGGAUUGUAAACUCCUGUUGUUGAGGAAGAUAAUGACGGUACUCAACAAGGAAGUGACGGCUAACUACGUGCCAGCAGCCGCGGUAAAACGUAGGUCACAAGCGUUGUCCGGAAUUACUGGGUGUAAAGGGAGCGCAGGCGGGAAGACAAGUUGGAAGUGAAAUCUAUGGGCUCAACCCAUAAACUGCUUUCAAAACUGUUUUUCUUGAGUAGUGCAGAGGUAGGCGGAAUUCCCGGUGUAGCGGUGGAAUGCGUAGAUAUCGGGAGGAACACCAGUGGCGAAGGCGGCCUACUGGGCACCAACUGACGCUGAGGCUCGAAAGUGUGGGUAGCAAACAGGAUUAGAUACCCUGGUAGUCCACACUGUAAACGAUGAUUACUAGGUGUUGGAGGAUUGACCCCUUCAGUGCCGCAGUUAACACAAUAAGUAAUCCACCUGGGGAGUACGACCGCAAGGUUGAAAC